AAUCAUGUAUGUAGAAAGUCUCAUAUAUAUUAAUAUAUUUUAAUUAAAUUAUAUACGAUAGAAACUACAUAAAUAUUUUAAUUUUGAAAUUUGCUUUGAACAAUUUUUUUUGAUAAAAACUCUGAACAAAUACUAAAAACUUUAUAUUUAAAUUUUAAAAUUUGCAUUGAAUAUAUAUAAAAAUUAUAAAUUACUAAAACUUUCAAAAACAUUGCACAAUGGAAAUUUGUUUUCAGCAUUUUAAAUUUUUAUUAUAAAAGAUACAAAUAAGUAGAACGCAUCAUUUGACAAUAUAUCAAUAUUAAAAAUAUACUUUUUAUCAAUGUAUAUAUUAUGUAUAUUUAAUUAUAUAAAAUAGAAAAAAAAAACUGAUUGUUUGGGUUAAUAAAAUUUAUUUACUUAUUUACACUAAUCUAAUUAUAUAUGUAAUAGUUAUUAACUUUUUCAUUAUCCAAUAUAUAUAUAUUGUUUUAUAAUAUAUAAAAGAACAUACUAUACGUAAAAUAAUUUAUAUAUAUGAUGUUCAUCCCGCGAAAAACGCGGAUCUUAAUCUAGUUAUUAUGUUAUUAAUCAUGGUUUUGGGUAUGUAACAUACAUUUAUUUGUUAUACUGUAUUUAGUCAUUUUACAAUAGGAAAUAGGAAGGUUAGAUAAUAUUAGGAAAUAGGAAGGUUAGAUAAUAUUAGUAAGGGAGGAUAGGAGGUCAAAUAAUAUACGGGGAUUAUGAUUAGAUACUACUAUAUAAAUAUAUAUAUAUAUAUAUAUAGACAGACAUCUUUAAAAGAAAAUAUUACAUUGUAGGACACUUAUUGAGUUUUUAUUUCAUCCUAGGUCACUUGUUGCUACUAACACACUUUUCUUGUACUUUCUCUACCAACGCCUCUAGUACAAUAUCUCUUUUACCCUUUCUUCCAAGUUUUUAUUCCUUUCUAACUAAAACAACCGACUAAAAAAUUACUUCAUCUCAUCUUCUUAAUUUUGAAAUCUUCUCGUAUCCAUGGUAAAGGGAGUAAAGAAAAAAAUCUUUAUAAAAGAAAAAAAAAAUAAAAAAUUCUCCAAAUCGGACGAUACUUCUCCGAUUUUGACUAAUUCUAACCCAGAAAAUCCUCAUAUUUCUGAAAAAUUGUCUUCAUUCUCUCUUUAUUUUCCCAAUUUCUUUUGGGAAUGUCUAAGGUUAUGCAAUUUCUUACAAAAGAUGGCUCCUUUAUGUACCAAUUCGAAGGCCUUGCAAAUCUAUCAGUUACAUGUUAAAUUUUGAUAUAUAACUUGAUUUUGUAUAGCUAAUGUGCCUAUGUUGUUUCCUUUUACUGUUUUUUUUCUUUCAAGUCACAAAAAUGAUUUGAUAAUGUUGUUGUGGAGUCUUCAUAUAUGUCCUUACUCUUUAUAUUUCUCAAGUUUUUAUGAGUCUUUUUAAUGGAGAACUGAAGCUGCUGAGUUAGUAGUCAUUAGUUAUCCCAAUUGAGGCUGAUUUGCAGAACAUGUUAGUCACUUUAUUAGUGUCUCUUUGAUAUUUGUCUCUGAUCAGAUUCGAACACAUUACCAUUCCCUUUAUGUGUCUUGACGCAUAACAUAUUCUGAUAUAUAUCAUAUAGUUAUGGCGUUUGUAUUCUCCGGUUAGGACGUUCCUUCUUUCUGUAACUUUUGAUUUGAACAGAUUGUGGAGGUGAUGAUCCAGAGCUCAAACAGGAAAUGAAGAAGCAGUUUGUGGACACUGGCUAAGGAGUUGAAGCUGCAAGAAGCAGUUGGAGAUGAGCAUAGCCGUCAUAUGAACGAUACCCUUGCAGAAGCUAAAGUUGCAUCUUCACUAUCAUUGUGGGGAUACAAUGCUAUCCAACUUUACUUACAUAGUUUAUAUGCUCAUCUCGGAAACUAGCUUCUCCUGCUCCCCCUAGGUUACGUUUGUAUAGGUCUUAUAUUUUGGGCAUACUCAUUUGGUGGACACUUCAACUCUCCACGUUGACACUAGUCUGCAUCUCUUGUGCUUUUUACAUGUUUUUGUUCUGUUUUUUUUUUUUUUGCUUUGAGAUGUAUAAAUGAAUACUUUGUACAUUUGCAAUAUCAUAUUUGCUGGGGUUUUUAACAAUCGUCCACCGGCUAUCCUUAUGUACAUUACAUUAAGACUAUACAUGUGUACAUCUAUCUUGUAUUGUACACCUAAGUGAUUGUGUACAAAUUUCUCGAAGACUUGUUAGGACAAAGCAAGUGAGUGUGUAUAUCCAUGUGUACACAAUCUCAUAGUGUACAGGUGUACACAUAUAUACAUUUUUAACAUUUGAACGACAUUGUACAACCGUUGCAUAAAAUGUCACAAUUGGCAUUCAAAUUUACAAUUGCUUACAAACACUUAACUAUAUUUGGUCAUCUUCUAAUAACCAAAAACAGGCACGCCAUUGUGAAUCUUUUAAAUGGGUUAUAGAUCUAUGAAUCUCCAGUCAUUAAAAUGUCCACAUGUACACAUAUCUUCUUGCGGACAUUCCAGCAUAUCGUACACAUGGACGACACUUCUCAUGUCCAGUCAUUAAAAGAAUUCAUCUUUUAAGUGAGGUCAUAGCAAAAAUGAACCAACGAACCAUAGUAAGGAUUCAUCUUCAAAGAAAAGUAUAUGAUUCAAUACUCUUCAGUUAGUUGGAGUUAAAACAAAAAUCAGAACUAAAUAAUCUGAUUUAUAAUAAAAAUUUCUUUUUGGUGAAAAAGUACAUUUUAUAGUCACAGCUCAACUGAAUCAAGACUUUGAUUUUUAACAAAUGCACAAACAUCGGAAGUUCAAUUUUUUUUUUGGUUCACUUGUUAUCAGAUGAGAUGAGCUGGAUAACUCACAAAAUAAGGAAAAAUAGUUUUUCUAAAGGAUCUAACUUCAAUCGCUGUUUUGUAGGUAGACAUUAUGCAACUUAUGAUUGGAGGGGAAGGUGUUGGGUGCUGAUUGUGAACCGACCCACCAUGAAAAAGAGUUUUGAAACAGGAUUUUGAGGAAACUUCGACCCCAACAGUCGGAAGCCAGCAUCUUCUCUAUCGUCAUAGUCAUCUCUUUUCACGGUUAGGACAUAAGGUCUGGGACAAAGAAAGAUUGACAUGUGAAGAGAAAAGAGAGCUUUAUUGUUUGUUUAAAACAGAAGAAUAGAGAAAAGAUGAGAUCGGACGUGAGAUCGGACUUGAGAAGGAACGAGAAACUAAAUUUAACUUGACUCACGUGCAACAACAAGGAAAAGCUUUAGUUGAGGACAAU